GUCAAUCACGGUCCGUUUCCGGUUGCUGCGGAAGAAGUGGAAAAUUCCGCAGAAAGCGACGGUUCCGUGAGGCCGGCUCCGCGACAUAACCAACCCCGGCUGGAUGCACUACUCCAAGCUGUCUCAGACACUAUAUGUUCAACAUCGCCAGGGGCCGCUGAUUGGAAUGGGGUUGAGGUGGUGCUACUAAGUUCCUCCCCGCCUCCCUCCACCUCCCGCACCGCCGGGCGGCUGGACGCUGCUGGCGGCCUCGCGGUAGGGCCUGCUGCCGUCGGUACUCACCUGCCACGGAAACACCAACGGACUGCUGUGGUUCAAGAAGACAGCUCGCCACCACCUUGAGUGCCAUGAGGGAUGGGUAAUAAAUGCUGGUCUUGCCAGCGGUACUCACUUCCCAUGGAAAAUAAAAUACCUUUUUAAAAAAAA